rnacentral:rRNA from 1 species
UACGGAGGAUCCGAGCGUUAUCCGGAUUUAUUGGGUUUAAAGGGAGCGUAGGCGGCCUGUUAAGUCAGGGGUGAAAGACGGUGGCUCAACCAUCGCAGUGCCUUUGAUACUGACAGGCUUGAAUGUAGUUGAGGUGGGCGGAAUGUGACAAGUAGCGGUGAAAUGCAUAGAUAUGUCUCAGAACACCGAUUGCGAAGGCAGCUUACUAUGGUUCUAUUGACGCUGAGGCACGAAAGCGUGGGGAUCGAACAGG